GACGAACGCUGGCGGCGUGCUUAACACAUGCAAGUCGAACGAUGAAGAAGAGCUUGCUCUUCGGACUAGUGGCGAACGGGUGAGUAACACGUGACUAACCUGCCCCUUUCUCUGGGAUAACGCUCCGAAAGGAGUGCUAAUACCGGAUACUCACAUCGAGGCACAUGCCUUGAUGUGGAAAGUUUUUCGGAAAGGGAUGGAGUCGCGUCCUAUUAGCUUGUUGGUGAGGUAACGGCUCACCAAGGCUACGAUAGGUAGGGGGCCUGAGAGGGUUAUCCCCCACACUGGAACUGAGACACGGUCCAGACUCCUACGGGAGGCAGCAGUGGGGAAUAUUGGACAAUGGGGGCAACCCUGAUCCAGCAAUGCCGCGUGAGUGAUGAAGGCCUUAGGGUUGUAAAGCUCUUUCGCACGCGACGAUGAUGACGGUAGCGUGAGAAGAAGCCCCGGCUAACUUCGUGCCAGCCGCCGCCGUAA
rnacentral:rRNA from 1 species